ACUACGGGCGGCAGCAGUGAGGAAUAUUGGUCAAUGGGAGAGAUCCUGAACCAGCCAAGCCGCGUGAGGGAAGACGGCCCUAUGGGUUGUAAACCUCUUUUGUCGGAGAACAAAACCCGGGACGUGUCCCGGACUGCGUGUAUCCGAAGAAAAAGCAUCGGCUAACUCCGUGCCAGCAGCCGCGGUAAUACGGAGGAUGCGAGCGUUAUCCGGAUUUAGUGGGUUUAAAGGGUGCGUAGGCGGUCCGUUAAGUCAGCGGUAAAAUUGCGGGGCUCAACCCCGUCGAGCCGUUGAAACUGGCAGACUUGAGUUGGCGAGAAGUACGCGGAAUGCGCGGUGUAGCGGUGAAAUGCAUAGAUAUCGCGCAGAACUCCGAUGGCGAAGGCAGCGUACCGGCGCCAGACUGACGCUGAGGCACGAAAGCGUGGGGAUCGAACAGGAUUAGAUACCCCGGUAGUC
rnacentral:rRNA from 1 species